rnacentral:SRP_RNA from 1 species
AGGAGAGCCGCGCGGACGUAGUCCUCGCCAACCCGGUCAGGUCCGGAAGGAAGCAGCCGUAACGAGUUUCGCUGCGGGUCGUGUCGGCUUUCCGCCU